ensembl:lncRNA
GGGAGAGAGACAUUCAUAUUCUGUCUCAGGAACAUAUUACAGAGGAGUUCAAACAUUCCCAACCAAAUACAACAACAACAAAAAAGAAAAGAAAAGCGAAAGAAGUAGAAGAAGGAAAGGGGGGAGAAAAACAAGUCAAGACACUGGGGAUAGGUGCAGCAGUGUCCGCAUCCUGGAACAGAUGGAGAUGAGAAGACGUGUGAUGGAAGCGAAUGAAAGAGAGCAAAGGGAGAACACAGGGAGCAGAAAGAGGAAAACAACACACAGCAGAGCCAGCAGAGAGUUGAUCAUCUGUUCCUUGGGACACCAGAGACCCCAUUUUAAAUCUGAACAGCUCUGAACGUCACUGAAUGGCACACUCCAAAGGUUGGAUAUGCUGCAGCCCUUUUUGUGGGUGUUCCAAAUGGCUGAGGUAGUCAAAUUCACCCACCUGGCUAUUUUUCAAAUGGAUCAUGCAAAGUUUGAGGUGGAGCAUGCACAGAGGUCUGUGUAAAAUGUAACCAGCCCAGAUGACAGACCCAUACCGAUACUGGUCAAGUUCCUG